rnacentral:rRNA from 1 species
GACGUAGGGCGCGAGCGUUGUCCGGAUUUAUUGGGCGUAAAGAGCUCGUAGGCGGCUUGUCGCGUCGACUGUGAAAACUCGGGGCUCAACUCCGAGCUUGCAGUCGAUACGGGCAGGCUAGAGUUCGGUAGGGGAGACUGGAAUUCCUGGUGUAGCGGUGAAAUGCGCAGAUAUCAGGAGGAACACCGGUGGCGAAGGCGGGUCUCUGGGCCGUAACUGACGCUGAGGAGCGAAAGCUUGGGGAGCAAACAGG